rnacentral:lncRNA from 1 species
GGGAGGGAUGAAAGGUGCUUCCGAUAUUGUGGUAUCAGCCAAAUCUUUAACUUGGAAUUGGUUUGGAGUUGGGUUUAAGAGUCGACUCGUUUGUUCUAAAGCAUAUUGAUUAUUUAAUCCGUUAGGAUCGAUGCCUUAAUUUACUUAUUUAUUUUCCUCUUUUUGUCUUAAGGGUUGAGUAUCUCGUGUGUUCGCGUUAAUUCAAUUUUUUG